rnacentral:rRNA from 1 species
UGGGGAAUAUUGGACAAUGGGCGCAAGCCUGAUCCAGCCAUGCCGCGUGAGUGACGAAGGCCUUAGGGUUGUAAAGCUCUUUUGGCGGGGACGAUAAUGACGGUACCCGCAGAAUAAGCCCCGGCUAACUUCGUGCCAGCAGCCGCGGUAAUACGAAGGGGGCUAGCGUUGUUCGGAAUUACUGGGCGUAAAGCGCACGUAGGCGGACUUUCAAGUCAGGGGUGAAAUCCCGGGGCUCAACCUCGGAACUGCCUUUGAUACUGUUGGUCUCGAGUCCGGAAGAGGUGGGUGGAAUUCCUAGUGUAGAGGUGAAAUUCGUAGAUAUUAGGAAGAACACCGGUGGCGAAGGCGGCCCACUGGUCCGGUACUGACGCUGAGGUGCGAAAGCGUGGGGAGCAAACAGGAUUAGAUACCCACGUAGUCCCUGAGCGGGCUGGCAAGGCGCAU